AAAGAUGGCCGCCUAUCCCGACAGGAGCUGAAAAAGGGAGCCUUUCUGAUGGGGAUGAACCCAACAGAUAGUGAACUCAGGGCGUGGUGGAAGGUCACAGACAAAAACAAUGACGGCUUUAUUGACGUUUACGAAUAUCUUGACGUCAUGAAGUCUAACUUCAACACCCUAGAUAUUGAGAAAGAAAGACUAAUGACCGCGUUUAGAGUGAUUGACAAGAAAGGGGAUGGGCGCAUUUUAAAAAAAGACUUCAUUAGCAUAUUGACGUGCAACAACAGCUGUAUCACGCGAGAGGAGGCGGACAAAAUGUUCACUGAGGCCGAUUCUCUGGGGAAGGGAUACAUCGGUUAUGAAGAUUUCGUCGAAUCAAAGCUGUGUUCAUCCAUAUUUCAAUGACAGUGUGGUUUACACCAUUCAAAUCCGUUCAUACAGAACGUAAUAGUGUUAUUGGAGACAUUUCAUUAAACCAAAACAUAUUCAGAAUGGACUCCAAACACAGUGAAUAAAGAUUAUAGCGACUUGGGAUCUAAUUUCAGUUGUGUAAAGGGCUGGCAUUUCAUAAAUGGCACUCUAUAAAUCAACAUGAAUCACCUUCAAUUGUUUGCUAAAGUUUUAAACUGAAUAAAAUUCAAUUGU
rnacentral:misc_RNA from 1 species